AGUGAACGCUGGCGGUAGGCCUAACACAUGCGAGUCGAACGGCAGCACAGUAAGAGCUUGCUCUUACGGGUGGCGAGUGGCGGACGGGUGAGGAAUACAUCGGAAUCUACUUUUUCGUGGGGGAUAACGUAGGGAAACUUACGCUAAUACCGCAUACGACCUACGGGUGAAAGCAGGGGAUCUUCGGACCUUGCGCGAUUGAAUGAGCCGAUGUCGGAUUAGCUAGUUGGCGGGGUAAAGGCCCACCAAGGCGACGAUCCGUAGCUGGUCUGAGAGGAUGAUCAGCCACACUGGAACUGAGACACGGUCCAGACUCCUACGGGACGCAGCAGUGGGGAAUAUUGGACAAUGGGCGCAAGCCUGAUCCAGCCAUACCGCGUGGGUGAAGAAGGCCUUCGGGUUGUAAAGCCCUUUUGUUGGGAAAGAAAAGCAGCAGGUUAAUACCCCGCUGUUCUGACGGUACCCAAAGAAUAAGCACCGGCUAACUUCGUG
rnacentral:rRNA from 1 species